GAUCCAUGACCUGCCUUAGAGGUUCCUCCAGAAUUGCCUCCAGCAGACUUGGUGCUGGAGGGAGACCUGUUUCCUGAGUCGCAGAUGACACCCUCUUGGUGCCUCACCUGGUGAACAGGGCAAGCCAGCGCCCUAACUCAACUUUCUUCAGGCUCCUGCAGCAUGUGAUGUCCUCAGCAUCUGGCUCCUGCAAUCAGUAGCUCCUCCAUUGUUCAGGUCCUGUAUCAUACAGAGUGCAAGAGGACCCAGAACCAACACCUUGUUCAGGCACACACUCAGAUGAUGAUGGGGAGUGGAGCAGGUGAAGGUGAUUCACUGCCUUCAACCAACUUCAAAGCACUUCUCCCUAGAGCAGAGAGGGGCAGAAUUUCAGCAAUUGCCAUAGGUACAGAAUACCAGCUAUGUCCAUGUCAACUGGUAAAUCAUGUCCAUGAUGUCUCAUCUGAGACCUUGGUUUCAUCCAUAGAUGAAACCAUGAUUUUCUUUUUCUUGGAUAAUGUAUUGUUUUUCUAUUGUUUUGUUAUAAAAUUACCACAAAUUGAGCAACUUAAAACAACAGCAUUUAUUAUCUCACAGUUUCCAUGGGUCCGAAGUCUGGGAAUGGUUUACCUGGGUCCUUCACUUAGUGUCUCACAAGGUUACAACUGAUAUGUUGGGCAGGUUGUAAUUCUUUCUGUAGCUCAAGUCCCUCUUCCAAGCUCUUGCAGUUGCUCAUUGGAACAAAUUAAUAUUCCUGUGAGCCUAUACUCUUAUUAUUAAUGUUAAUCUUCUCCAAUUUCUUUUUAAUAAAAGAAUUGCUAGACAACUUAGGAAAGAGUUGUGCUUCCUAAUCUCAGUUAAAUAUUUUGCAAUAGAGUGAUGUAUCCUUAAGUACCACAUAUAAAUAAGACAUGUUUCCUCAUAGUGGUAUUAAAAUGGCUGUAUGUGAUAGUUUAAAU